CCUACGGGUCGCAGCAGUGGGGAAUAUUGCACAAUGGGCGCAAGCCUGAUGCAGCCAUGCCGCGUGUGUGAAGAAGGCCUUCGGGUUGUAAAGCACUUUCAGCGGGGAGGAAGGCGUUAAGGUUAAUAACCUUGGCGAUUGACGUUACCCGCAGAAGAAGCACCGGCUAACUCCGUGCCAGCAGCCGCGGUAAUACGGAGGGUGCAAGCGUUAAUCGGAAUUACUGGGCGUAAAGCGCACGCAGGCGGUCUGUCAAGUCGGAUGUGAAAUCCCCGGGCUCAACCUGGGAACUGCAUUCGAAACUGGCAGGCUAGAGUCUUGUAGAGGGGGGUAGAAUUCCAGGUGUAGCGGUGAAAUGCGUAGAGAUCUGGAGGAAUACCGGUGGCGAAGGCGGCCCCCUGGACAAAGGCUGACGCUCAGGUGCGAAAGCGUGGGGAGCAAACAGGAUUAGAUACCCGCGUAGUC
rnacentral:rRNA from 1 species